rnacentral:rRNA from 4 species
GGGUUGUGAGGUUAAGUGACUAAGCGUACACGGUGGAUGCCCUGGCAGUCAGAGGCGAUGAAGGACGUGCUAAUCUGCGAUAAGCGUCGGUAAGGUGAUAUGAACCGUUAUAACCGGCGAUUUCCGAAUGGGGAAACCCAGUGUGUUUCGACACACUAUCAUUAACUGAAUCCAUAGGUUAAUGAGGCGAACCGGGGGAACUGAAACAUCUAAGUACCCCGAGGAAAAGAAAUCAACCGAGAUUCCCCCAGUAGCGGCGAGCGAACGGGGAGCAGCCCAGAGCCUGAAUCAGUGUGUGUGUUAGUGGAAGCGUCUGGAAAGGCGCGCGAUACAGGGUGACAGCCCCGUACACAAAAAUGCACAUACUGUGAGCUCGAUGAGUAGGGCGGGACACGUGGUAUCCUGUCUGAAUAUGGGGGGACCAUCCUCCAAGGCUAAAUACUCCUGACUGACCGAUAGUGAACCAGUACCGUGAGGGAAAGGCGAAAAGAACCCCGGCGAGGGGAGUGAAAAAGAACCUGAAACCGUGUACGUACAAGCAGUGGGAGCACGCUUAGGCGUGUGACUGCGUACCUUUUGUAUAAUGGGUCAGCGACUUAUAUUCUGUAGCAAGGUUAACCGAAUAGGGGAGCCGAAGGGAAACCGAGUCUUAACUGGGCGUUAAGUUGCAGGGUAUAGACCCGAAACCCGGUGAUCUAGCCAUGGGCAGGUUGAAGGUUGGGUAACACUAACUGGAGGACCGAACCGACUAAUGUUGAAAAAUUAGCGGAUGACUUGUGGCUGGGGGUGAAAGGCCAAUCAAACCGGGAGAUAGCUGGUUCUCCCCGAAAGCUAUUUAGGUAGCGCCUCGUGAAUUCAUCUCCGGGGGUAGAGCACUGUUUCGGCAAGGGGGUCAUCCCGACUUACCAACCCGAUGCAAACUGCGAAUACCGGAGAAUGUUAUCACGGGAGACACACGGCGGGUGCUAACGUCCGUCGUGAAGAGGGAAACAACCCAGACCGCCAGCUAAGGUCCCAAAGUCAUGGUUAAGUGGGAAACGAUGUGGGAAGGCCCAGACAGCCAGGAUGUUGGCUUAGAAGCAGCCAUCAUUUAAAGAAAGCGUAAUAGCUCACUGGUCGAGUCGGCCUGCGCGGAAGAUGUAACGGGGCUAAACCAUGCACCGAAGCUGCGGCAGCGACGCUGAUGCGUUGUUGGGUAGGGGAGCGUUCUGUAAGCCUGUGAAGGUGUGCUGUGAGGCAUGCUGGAGGUAUCAGAAGUGCGAAUGCUGACAUAAGUAACGAUAAAGCGGGUGAAAAGCCCGCUCGCCGGAAGACCAAGGGUUCCUGUCCAACGUUAAUCGGGGCAGGGUGAGUCGACCCCUAAGGCGAGGCCGAAAGGCGUAGUCGAUGGGAAACAGGUUAAUAUUCCUGUACUUGGUGUUACUGCGAAGGGGGGACGGAGAAGGCUAUGUUGGCCGGGCGACGGUUGUCCCGGUUUAAGCGUGUAGGCUGGUUUUCCAGGCAAAUCCGGAAAACUAAGGCUGAGGCGUGAUGACGAGGCACUACGGUGCUGAAGCAACAAAUGCCCUGCUUCCAGGAAAAGCCUCUAAGCAUCAGGUAACAUCAAAUCGUACCCCAAACCGACACAGGUGGUCAGGUAGAGAAUACCAAGGCGCUUGAGAGAACUCGGGUGAAGGAACUAGGCAAAAUGGUGCCGUAACUUCGGGAGAAGGCACGCUGAUAUGUAGGUGAAGCGACUUGCUCGUGGAGCUGAAAUCAGUCGAAGAUACCAGCUGGCUGCAACUGUUUAUUAAAAACACAGCACUGUGCAAACACGAAAGUGGACGUAUACGGUGUGACGCCUGCCCGGUGCCGGAAGGUUAAUUGAUGGGGUCAGCGCAAGCGAAGCUCUUGAUCGAAGCCCCGGUAAACGGCGGCCGUAACUAUAACGGUCCUAAGGUAGCGAAAUUCCUUGUCGGGUAAGUUCCGACCUGCACGAAUGGCGUAAUGAUGGCCAGGCUGUCUCCACCCGAGACUCAGUGAAAUUGAACUCGCUGUGAAGAUGCAGUGUACCCGCGGCAAGACGGAAAGACCCCGUGAACCUUUACUAUAGCUUGACACUGAACAUUGAGCCUUGAUGUGUAGGAUAGGUGGGAGGCUUUGAAGUGUGGACGCCAGUCUGCAUGGAGCCGACCUUGAAAUACCACCCUUUAAUGUUUGAUGUUCUAACGUUGACCCGUGAUCCGGGUUGCGGACAGUGUCUGGUGGGUAGUUUGACUGGGGCGGUCUCCUCCUAAAGAGUAACGGAGGAGCACGAAGGUUGGCUAAUCCUGGUCGGACAUCAGGAGGUUAGUGCAAUGGCAUAAGCCAGCUUGACUGCGAGCGUGACGGCGCGAGCAGGUGCGAAAGCAGGUCAUAGUGAUCCGGUGGUUCUGAAUGGAAGGGCCAUCGCUCAACGGAUAAAAGGUACUCCGGGGAUAACAGGCUGAUACCGCCCAAGAGUUCAUAUCGACGGCGGUGUUUGGCACCUCGAUGUCGGCUCAUCACAUCCUGGGGCUGAAGUAGGUCCCAAGGGUAUGGCUGUUCGCCAUUUAAAGUGGUACGCGAGCUGGGUUUAGAACGUCGUGAGACAGUUCGGUCCCUAUCUGCCGUGGGCGCUGGAGAACUGAGGGGGGCUGCUCCUAGUACGAGAGGACCGGAGUGGACGCAUCACUGGUGUUCGGGUUGUCAUGCCAAUGGCACUGCCCGGUAGCUAAAUGCGGAAGAGAUAAGUGCUGAAAGCAUCUAAGCACGAAACUUGCCCCGAGAUGAGUUCUCCCUGACUCCUUGAGAGUCCUGAAGGAACGUUGAAGACGACGACGUUGAUAGGCCGGGUGUGUAAGCGCAGCGAUGCGUUGAGCUAACCGGUACUAAUGAACCGUGAGGCUUAACCUUACAACGCCGAAGCUGUU